UGCAUAUUCAACUGUCAAAGACAGGGAAGGCAGAUGCAAAAUAAAUCCUCCCUCGAAACCCAAAACUCAUUGUUCAGUAUGAGUUUUGAUAUAUAUAUAAGAAGGGAUAUG
rnacentral:snoRNA from 1 species